UCAAAUUCAUUGAAGGGGAGAGUAGGAUAAACUGAAGUAAUAGCGAGCCGGGGACGGUGGAAGCCUGGUAUGGAGGUUUAUCUGAAGCGCACCCUGGAGAAGCUGUCUGAAAUUUAGUAGGAUAAGACGUAUCCCUGCGUUAAAGGGUUAGAGUGGGCAAGUUUUUAGACUUGCCAAUAAGAGUGGUAACACGGGAUUAACUCUCGUCUCUUCA
rnacentral:ncRNA from 1 species